UCGCAUCAGUUUUUGAGUUUUCUUCUUUUCGAUUUCUUUCUUUUGCAAGCCGCUGGAAGAGUGCUAAAGGAUUGCAAGAAGAAAUCCCUAGUGUAUACGUCUCAGACACAGGUAGGGGGAAGGCAAGUGCUGGAAGCUUUGACGUUUUUGCUGCUGGAACCUCCAAAUCCUCCAGCCUUCUAACUCGGAUAUUUGAGCUUCUGCUUUAAUCCUUUGGGAUUCAUCGCUUGUCAAGACCUGUCAUGGCAUCCACUAACCCGUCGUCAAUUAUUAGUGA